AUGUACGAGUGGGUACUGGAGGGCCCACACAUCCGGGAGCCAAGCACUAGCAGCGACAUUCCAGCCGACGCAGAGCUUGGAGCAGCUGCAGACAUCUUCGUGGCCGUGCCUAGGGGGUUGGAUGGCGUCCCGCCGUUGCUGGUUCGCACAAAGUUUCUCUUCCGUUGGAGGCACUGGGUUCAGUCCAUGCGUUUCUGGUGUGCGACGACGCUGGGCGUUGGUGGCGACCCACGUCAGUUUCUCCCGGCGGCGUGGUCGUGGGAGCACAUUGCUCGUCCGGCGGUGGAGCAGGAGUACAACGGGCGCGGGGAGCCCGAGGGGUCAUGCGCCCUGUGCUCCGUUGCGAUGUGCAUUCACGCACAGUAUCGGCUACACUUCGAGCGCCGGCACGGCGCGGGCUCCUUCCCUUACCAGGUCAGCGACAUUGGAUAUGUGAAGAAGGCAUGCGAGAGGGCGGGGAUUUGGAAGCGGUGGAGGGGAGGCACUUCGCCUCACGACGUGCUCGGCGUCAUGGAUAGGCGAGGCAUCGGCUUGCGCACAGAAACGGCCGGUGGACGGCGGGGGCCUCUUAUUCGACACAGGAGCAGCGAUCAGUUCAGCUCGCUGGAUCACGAAGUCCAAGAUUUGGCCAUGCUCAUGCGGCUCGGCGGCACCAUGAUCGGCGCGCUAUACAUCGACGCAAGCUUUUACGCCGCCACCAGCCCGGAGUCGGUCUACACAGGUGACCCGACGAGACUGGCAGUACCCAACCACGCCACCUUGUGUGUUGGAUACGAGGUGACGGCGCAAGGGAAGCUCGACAUUCAGGUCCUGGAUAACGGGAGGAACGGGGAUCUCCUGUGGGCGCGCUACGAAGCUUUCGACAGAUUUACCGUCAUCGGCGUCGAGCUUGAGAACGAUGGCAGCAUCGAGGGUGGUGGCAGGAUACGAGGUAUACUGAGACGUAUCAUCAGCACAGUCCGCCGUCUCGUCAGAAGCUUCUUCUUCUGGCUCUGA
rnacentral:rRNA from 1 species